UUUUUGAAAGAUGGCUUCGGCUAUCACUUUUGGAUGGUCCCGCGGCGUAUUAGCUAGAUGGUGGGGUAACGGCUCACCAUGGCAAUGAUACGUAGCCGACCUGAGAGGGUAAUCGGCCACAUUGGGACUGAGACACGGCCCAAACUCCUACGGGAGGCAGCAGUAGGGAAUCUUCCACAAUGGACGAAAGUCUGAUGGAGCAACGCCGCGUGAGUGAAGAAGGGUUUCGGCUCGUAAAACUCUGUUGUUAAAGAAGAACAUAUCUGAGAGUAACUGUUCAGGUAUUGACGGUAUUUAACCAGAAAGCCACGGCUAACUACGUGCCAGCAGCCGCGGUAAUACGUAGGUGGCAAGCGUUGUCCGGAUUUAUUGGGCGUAAAGCGAGCGCAGGCGGUUUUUUAAGUCUGAUGUGAAAGCCUUCGGCUCAACCGAAGAAGUGCAUCGGAAACUGGGAAACUUGAGUGCAGAAGAGGACAGUGGAACUCCAUGUGUAGCGGUGAAAUGCGUAGAUAUAUGGAAGAACACCAGUGGCGAAGGCGGCUGUCUGGUCUGUAACUGACGCUGAGGCUCGAAAGUAUGGGUAGCAAACAGGAUUAGAUACCCUGGUAGUCCAUACCGUAAACGAUGAAUGCUAAGUGUUGGAGGGUUUCCGCCCUUCAGUGCUGCAGCUAACGCAUUAAGCAUUCCGCCUGGGGAGUACGGCCGCAAGGCUGAAACUCAAAGGAAUUGACGGGGGCCCGCACAAGCGGUGGAGCAUGUGGUUUAAUUCGAAGCUACGCGAAGAACCUUACCAGGUCUUGACAUACUAUGCAAAUCUAAGAGAUUAGACGUUCCCUUCGGGGACAUGGAUACAGGUGGUGCAUGGUUGUCGUCAGCUCGUGUCGUGAGAUGUUGGGUUAAGUCCCGCAACGAGCGCAACCCUUAUUAUCAGUUGCCAGCAUUAAGUUGGGCACUCUGGUGAGACUGCCGGUGACAAACCGGAGGAAGGUGGGGAUGACGUCAAAUCAUCAUGCCCCUUAUGACCUGGGCUACACACGUGCUACAAUGGAUGGUACAACGAGUUGCGAACUCGCGAGAGUAAGCUAAUCUCUUAAAGCCAUUCUCAGUUCGGAUUGUAGGCUGCAACUCGCCUACAUGAAGUCGGAAUCGCUAGUAAUCGCGGAUCAGCAUGCCGCGGUGAAUACGUUCCCGGGCCUUGUACACACCGCCCGUCACACCAUGAGAGUUUGUAACACCCAAAGUCGGUGGGGUAACCUUUU
rnacentral:rRNA from 1 species